rnacentral:rRNA from 1 species
UACGUAGGCAGCGAGCGUUGUUCGGAGUUACUGGGCGUAAAGGGUGUGUAGGCGGUUGUUUAAGUUUGGUGUGAAAUCUCCCGGCUCAACUGGGAGGGUGCGCCGAAUACUGAAUGACUUGGAGUGCGGGAGAGGAAAGUGGAAUCCCUGGUGUAGCGGUGAAAUGCGUAGAUAUCAGGAGGAACACCGGUGGUGUAGACGGCUUUCUGGACCGUAACUGACGCUGAGACACGAAAGCGUGGGUAGCAAACAGG